CCAGAGGGUCGGGCGGCCGCGGCUCGCGCUAGCGAGGCGAGGAAAGUCCGGGCUCCACGGAACGACGGUGCCGGGUAAUGCCCGGCGGGGGUGACCCCAGGGACAGUGCAACAGAAAGCAAACCGCCGGUCUUCGGGCCGGCAAGGUCGAAAGGGUGCGGUAAGAGCGCACCGCGCCUCCGGCAACGGAAGGCGGCACGGUAAACCCCACCGGGAGCAAGACCGAAUAGGGGCGGCAUAUGGGCCAUGUUCCGGCUCGUCGCCCGGGUUGGUUGCUGGAGGGGCGGAGCGAUCCGCCUCCUAGAGGAAUGGUCGCACAGGCGGAGUGAUCCGCUGGACAGAACCCGGCUUACAGACCCUCUGGCGCU
rnacentral:RNase_P_RNA from 1 species